rnacentral:lncRNA from 1 species
GCCACAGAGUGACAGGCCAGAAACCUGACUCAGUGUUUAUUCACCAAACACUGAGAGGGCCCUCCUGAAUCUCUUCCCCACCCAAAGCCUCCCUACUUCGGGGGCAGGAGAGGGGACGGCACUGCCAUCUCCCAUGCUCAGCAUACCUGGUAUACUUGCCCCAGGAGAUUAGCCACAAGGAAAAGCAUGCAGGCUGCCCCCGACACAAGAGAAAAUCUGGUAAAACACAAGAAAGAACCACCACUGAGCAGCAUCAGCCAAGAGAAGAAUCCCACAUCCUGUGGAUUCCGAACCGAGCAGGCGUUUGUCCCUUGUUUCACUACGAUCUACCCACACCACUGGAAAAUGUGUACAACAGCCACAGCCAACAGUCUAGGAAGUUUGGGGUCGUGGUUUUUCUGUUUAGCAUCGGAAAUCAAAACUGAGAGCCAUGAAAACAGCAAUUUUUGGUUGAGCGGCCUCUGAAAUAAAUAGGAACACCAGCCUGGCUGAUCUGAAACACAACUCAUAAAAAGGAAACAAAGACAAAUGGUUCUUUUCCUGUUUCUAAUAUUUUCACUCCCACACUGAGAUUAUUUAAUGCAACUUCCUACUGGUGGGUGGGCUAUUAGGGAUCAGAGAGGAAUUGUGACUUGCCUGGAGGCACACAGCACAUAGACAAGGCUGUGCUAUGCACCUGGAACCUUCUGUCGUGUGCUUCUCUGGUUAUUUUCAGUUUUGGAAAACUCUUGACUCCAUCGAAAUAGUAUCCUUAGAAGCCAAGGAGAACUGUGAUUUCAUUGGCUAUGAGGAUUUCCAAUCUCUAAACUAAGUGACUUGUUAAGAAAAAUAUUUGAAAUUGGCAAAUAAUAAAAUAAAUAAAAGGGGAUUGCUUUCCCCAUUUUAUCCGUAGGACACCGACUAAUGUCUUGGGAUUUCUGGCCCACAUUCCUCUCUCCAUGCGGAGUCUUGAGGGAUUUACGGCUUGGUGAGGAGCCUCUGUGUCUCCUUGACAGGAAUUCCACCAUCAACUCAUCACCAAAGCGUCCUCAUCAACCUGGCUUUAAUCGCCUCCAAACCUGAUAAACAUCGGAGGAGGCUGUUCAUCCUUGGCAAAUUAUCUAAUCCACAUGUUGUUCAAUUUGUGUAAACCCCAGCCCACGAGGAUCAUAAAAUAAAUAAGCA